GGGGCUGAUUCUGGAUUCGACGGGAUUCGCGAAACCCAAGGUGCAUGCCGAGGGGCGGUUGGCCUCGUAAAAAGCCGCAAAAAAAUAGUCGCAAACGACGAAAACUACGCUUUAGCAGCUUAAUAACCUGCUCUGAGCCCUCUCUCCCUAGCUUCCGCUCUUAAGACGGGGAUCAAAGACUAAGCAUGUAGUACCGAGGAUGUAGGAAUUUCGGACGCGGGUUCAACUCCCGCCAGCUCCACCA
rnacentral:tmRNA from 1 species